GCAGCCAAAAUGAGGAUUGUCAGUAACGGUGUUCAGCCUUACAUUGUUCAAACCGGAGUCGACACACAGCAAAUUCAUCAGUGUUAAAUUUCAAGUGUUAAGCCAAUUUAGAGUAAAGUGUUGAAGUUAUAGUGUAAAAUUUAGAGAAAUUAACACUAUCAGUGUGUUAAAAGCUUGUUUGCUUCAGUGUUAUCACAGAGUUACAGGUAUCCAACACCCCCUGGUGUUAUUUGCAACAUCCGGGCAUUUAUUCAGCGAUCUCGCUGAAAGAUUUUUUCCAGACGCCAUUUUCUCGUGCCAUGCGGAGGAUGAGAAACGACAACUGGAACCAACUGGAUCAUGAGACACUACUUUUAAAAUUUUCUUCUUCAGUGCAUUUGUUAAACAGGGUAGAAAGAUAUUGCUGUCAUCCUUAGAAGUUGACUGGUGAUCACCCAUCUACAAUCCUUCCUGAUGAAUCACACACCAUCCUCAGAGUGUUUCCACUAAAGAUCUGAUAGCUCAAGGUUUUAGACUCCUCUUUGGUCCACAAACAGCUUUCAAACUGCUGGAGAAGUGGCCUACAUUCUAUAAGGAAAAGGUGAUCAGAGAAGCAGAGAACCUUGACCUUACUACCACCUCAGUGCUCCAGAGUUUGCUGAAGUCUGCCAGGAAUCAGUAUCAUGAUGAAUCUUCAGAAGAUCACCCAGAGUGGGACAGUGAUAUGACAUAUUUUUUGCUGCUUCUGCAUAUCCUGCCACCACAACAUUUAAAAAAGAAAAAACUGAAGAUCAGCGCAGCUCAGGUCAUGAACCAUCUAGCUGUAUUUCACAAGUGAAUCGGCAGCGUAGAAGAACACUUGGAGAAACUGGAGGGACAUCGCCAGCCAUAUCUCCUUGCUUCAGGAACUCACAUGUGGGCCAUCAGCAGUUACUACGUUGUGAUUGACCCGAUGCUCAUUCCAUGUAAGGGAACCAUGUCGUUGGCAGCCUUUGAUGAACUUUUUAAAGCGCACUUCGUUUUCAGCUCUGAUGAUGCUCUCAGCAACGUGUACACAUUCCUCCAGACAACAGUCUACAGUAUAGAUGUUGACACCACUGAAGAAAGUCCAAAGGUGAAAGAAACUGAGAGCCAAGCUCAUGAACAGGAACUAAGUGUUACGUUUGCAGAGUAUUCCAUAAUGCACCUGUCAUGUUAUGUGAAGCUUUUGAUGAUACUUGAAGCUCUUCGAUUUUUGAUUGUUUUAUGCUUACAGACUGUUUUAUAUUGUACGGCUGCAUCAUAUAGACUGCAAGCAGCAGGUAUGAGCUUUGUUUGUUGAACAAGGUCAUUGUACAGGGUAGUUUGAGUGCCCUGUCCCUGGCUUAAAUGAAAUGUGUAGCUCUGUUAAAGGAAAAAUAAAAUGUAUUCAUUGCA